rnacentral:rRNA from 1 species
UGCCUAAAGCAUAACAUUAAUGCAUUGGAUCCCAUUAGAACUAUGCAGUUAAACACUCUUCGGUUAGAGUAGUAUUAGGAUGGGUGAUAGCCCGAGAAGUUCUAGUGUUUUACAUGC